UCGUCCUGAACCCCAACGCCAGGCUUACCGUCGCACACAUCUGCCUCCAACCAACCUCCACCUCCAUCACCACUUCCUCGUUGCUGGUUCCGACCACCACGCGCCCUCAACCGUCUUCUCCAACCACACCGGGACCACUACGCACCACCGUUCGCCCUCACCUUCGCCGCCGGUCUCCGACAUCAGGUCUUAAGUUGUGGUUAGCCUUUUAAGGAUUACCUGUUGAAAAUGAGGAGCCUCUGGUAAGCGUCCAAGAGUGUUUAGUACCUAUGAAAUUGGUGAAUCAUCACAUAGCAGUCGUUUGCGUAGGGUAUCAAGAAUGUUAGAGCCAGUGACAGGUGGUCGACACGCGUCAUCUCAGGAAGAACGCACCCCGCUUCCUACAUAUUUCCGAGCUCCAUGGCAUUGAGAUUUGAAAGUGGCUUUAUGAUUCUUGGGGCCUGGGUCUCAUAAAAGCGAUUAUCAUUAGUUGGCUAACAGUUCUGAAAGUCAUCUUUUUGGGUAUUAAUUGCAUCUGUUGAUUAUUUUUGAAUGGUGAUAAAUUUUGUGGUGUUUCAUUUCUUCAAAGGAAGCUUUUAAUUUGGGCCGGUCAAUCAUCGUUGACUUCAACGAUUGUGAAAAGUGGCCACGAUGUGCGAACAUAGAAGGUAGGAGGCAAAAGACAGGGUCACGAUACUAAAGAUGACUUAAUUUGGAUUUACUCUCUUACUGUAUAUGUAUGGAUUGGUUUCU
rnacentral:lncRNA from 1 species